GUCUAUGGCCAUACCACCCUGAAUGUACCCAAUCUCAUCUGAUCUUGCAUGCUAAGCAGGGCUGGACCUGGAAGAAUUUUAAAAGUUUUGGUGCUUGAAAAU
rnacentral:rRNA from 1 species